CAUGUAUGGGACAAUAUAACAAAUCAUAUGAAAUAUAGGUGGAGUUCGUUGGGCCACUCUGACUACCCCUUUCUGUUUGAGAAUUUAUAACGGUCGAGAUCCACAAUCUUAAACAAUAUAUAUUUAUGUAUGGGACAAUAUUACAAAUCAAAUGAAUUAUAAGGGGGUCCCUAUGGUCACUGUACACCCUCCUGUUUGAGAACUUGGAAAAAUUCGAGAUCAUCACCCCUUAACCAUAUAAAUGAUAUAUACUCAUGUAUAAGACUAUAUAACAAAUCAAAUGUAUGAAAUAUAGGGGAAGUCCCUGUGGUCACCCUACUCCUCAUGUUUAAGAAUUUUGAAACAGUUGGGAUCCCCAACUCUAAAUUAAAUGAAAUAUAGGGGGAGUCCCUGCAGUCACCUGAUUGAGAAAUUGGAAACAGUUAAGAUCCCCACCUUUAAAUUAAACCAUAUAUAUUCAUGUAUGAGAACUAAUCAAAUGAAAUAUAGGGAGAGUCCUUAGGGUCACCCUACCCACUCCUGUUUGAUAACUUAGAAACAGAUGAGAUCCCCACCCCUCAACAAUACAUAUUCAUGUAUUGGACAAUAUAACAAAUCAAAUGAAAUAUAGGGGAAGUCACUGGGGUCCCCCACCCCCUCCUGUUUGAAAACUUGAUAACGGUCGAGAUCCCCACCCAUAAACCCUAUAUAUUCAUGUAUGGGACAAUAUAAAAAAUCAAAUGAAAAAUAGGGGUAGUCCCUAGGGUCACCCCACACCCUCUUGUGUGUGUUUUGAGAACUUGUAAAAGAUUGAGAUGCAUUUUCUCGUGAACCGUGCAUCCAAAGCUAAUAUGUUGUUACUGACAACAAAAUGAAGAUCAAGUUCAAGAAUAACGAUUUUGACUUUUACUGUUAAGGAGUUAUGGUUCUUGAAAGAUUGAAAAAUGGCGUUUCCAGUCGUGUCCGUGCAUUUACGCAUGAACUGUUUAACCAAAGCUUCCCAAAUUUUAAUAUGUUGUUACUGAUGAAAAAAUGGAGGUCAAGAUUAAGAAUGACGAUUUUGACUUUUACCGUUCAGGAGUUAUGGUUCUUGAAAGAUUGAAAAAUGGCGUUUCCAGUCGUGUCCGUGCAUUUACGCAUGAACUGUUUAACCAAAGCUUCCCAAAUUUUAAUAUGUUGUUACUGAUGAAAAAAUGGAGGUCAAGAUCAAGAAUGACGAUUUUGACUUUUACCGUUCAGGAGUUAUGGUUCUUGAAAGAUUGAAAAAUGGCGUUUCCAGUCGUGUCCGUGCAUUUACGAAUGAACUGUUCAAUCAAAGCUUCUCAAAUUUUAAUAUGUUGUUACUGAUGACAAAAUGGAGGUCAAGUUCAAGAAUGACGAUUUUGACUUUUACCGUUCAGGAGUUAUGGUUCUUGAAAGAUUGAAAAAUGGCGUUUCCAGUCAUGUUGUUGCAUUUACUAAUGAACUGUUCAACCAAAGCUUUUCAAAUUUUAAUAUGUUGAUACUGAUGACAAAAUGGAGGUCAAGUUCAAUAAUGUCGAUUUUGACUUUUACCGUCCAUGAGUUAUGGUUCUUGAAAGAUAAAAAAAUGGCGUUUCCAUUCAUGUUGUUGCAUUUACUCAUGAAUCAUUCAACCUAAGCUCUUUCAAAUUUUAAUAUGUUGAUACUGACGAUAAAAUGCAGGUCAAAUUUGAUAUUGACGAUUUUCACUUUCACCGUUCAUCAGUUAUGGUUCUUGUGAUAUUGCCAGGAGACA
rnacentral:lncRNA from 1 species